rnacentral:rRNA from 1 species
AUACGUAGGUGGCAAGCGUUGUCCGGAAUUAUUGGGCGUAAAGCGCGCGCAGGUGGUUCCUUAAGUCUGAUGUGAAAGCCCCCGGCUCAACCGGGGAGGGUCAUUGGAAACUGGGGAACUUGAGUGCAGAAGAGGAUAGUGGAAUUCCAAGUGUAGCGGUGAAAUGCGUAGAGAUUUGGAGGAACACCAGUGGCGAAGGCGACUGUCUGUUCUAUAACCGACACUGAGGCGCGAAAGCGUGGGGAGCAAACAGGAUUAGAUACCCGGGUAGUCCACGCCGUAAACGAUGAGUGCUAAGUGUUGGGGGGUUUCCGCCCCUCAGUGCUGCAGCUAACGCAUUAAGCACUCCGCCUGGGGAGUACGGUCGCAAGACUGAAACUCAAAGGAAUUGACGGGG